UACGUAGGGGGCAAGCGUUGUCCGGAUUUAUUGGGCGUAAAGAGCGUGUAGGCGGUUUGGUAGGUCCGCUGUGAAAACUCGAGGCUCAACCUCGAGACGCCGGUGGAAACCAUCAGGCUAGAGUCCGGAAGAGGAGAGUGGAAUUCCUGGUGUAGCGGUGAAAUGCGUAGAUAUCGGAAGGAACACCAGUGGCGAAAGCGGCUUCCUGGUCCAGCACCGACGUUCAGGCACGAAAGCGUGGGGAGCAAACAGG
rnacentral:rRNA from 1 species